rnacentral:rRNA from 1 species
UACGUAGGGUGCAAGCGUUGUCCGGAAUUAUUGGGCGUAAAGAGCUCGUAGGCGGUCUGUUGCGUCGGCUGUGAAAACCCGGGGCUCAACUCCGGGCCUGCAGCCGAUACGGGCAGACUAGAGUUCGGCAGGGGAGACUGGAAUUCCUGGUGUAGCGGUGAAAUGCGCAGAUAUCAGGAGGAACACCGGUGGUGUAGACGGCUUUCUGGACAAUCACUGACGCUGAGGUACGAAAGCGUGGGUAGCAAACAGG